UACGGAGGGUGCGAGCGUUGUCCGGAAUUAUUGGGCGUAAAGAGCUUGUAGGUGGUUUGUCGCGUCUGCUGUGAAAAUCCGAGGCUCAACCUCGGACUUGCAGUGGGUACGGGCAGACUAGAGUGUGGUAGGGGGAGAAUGGAAUUCCUGGUGUAGCGGUGAAAUGCGCAGAUAUCAGGAGGAACACCGGUGGCGAAGGCGGUUCUCUGGGCCUUACCUGGACACUGGAGGAGCGAAAGCGUGGGGAGCAAACAGG
rnacentral:rRNA from 1 species